rnacentral:snRNA from 1 species
ACCCCUCCUGGGCUCUCUGAGCUAAGAUCAUGUGUAGUAUCUGUUCUUUGCAGUGUAAUUUCUGCAACGGUCUCUAAGUUGAAACCAAUGAAAUUACCUGUAUUUUUCUCUGCCGGACGCGGUGCUGUGAGCUUACUCAACCCUGUUCACGGGCUCCCCUCCGUGGUAAAUUCUAAACAGGUAGCUGUGUCCACUCUAU